rnacentral:rRNA from 1 species
UCCGUAGGCGGUGUGGCAAGUCGGGAGUGAAAUCUCUGGGCUUAACCCAGAGGCUGCUUCCGAAACUGCCGUGCUAGAGUGUGAGAGAGGCGAGUGGAAUUGCGGGUGUAGCGGUGAAAUGCGUAGAUAUCCGCAGGAACAUCCGAGGCGAAGGCGGCUCGCUGGAUCACAACUGACGCUGAGGGACGAAAGCUAGGGGAGCAAACA